rfam:Otolemur garnettii contig011105, whole genome shotgun sequence.
GGGCUUGUUUCGGCAGCACAUAUGCUAAAAUUGGAAUGAUACAGAGAAGAUUAGCAUGGCCCUGCACAAGAAUGACACGUAAAUAUAUAUAUAUAUGUGUAUAUAU